rnacentral:rRNA from 1 species
GGAAAGUUGCAAAGUACUUUGAAGAGAGAGUUCAAGAGGACGUGAAACCGAUAGGAUGGAAGCAGAUGAAGUUGACGAACGAGUGUCGUAUUCAGGGUUGCAUCUUGUGUGCGGUCUGUUCUUGCGGCCGAUGUGGGCCGGCGGCUUUGGUCAAUGCACUGUGUCAAGCGUCGAUGGAGACCCUGCGGAGGGAUAAUCAGUCGGCGUGCGAUGCGUGGUAUGGCUAAGGUUUCGCCGGUCUUGAAGUCAGCGCCUCAUCUGACCCGUCUUGAAACACGGACCAAGGAGUGUAUCGCUUACGCAAGUCUUAGAGUGUAUCAAAACUUUGAGGCGCAACGAAAGUGAAUGUAGCUCGAUCUACUGAAUUGGGAUGCGUUGUCUCUUGUGGACGGCGCUGGACCAUAGUUAUAUCGCGAUCGCUUGCGAUGCGGUGUAAACAGAGCGUAAGCGGUGCGACCCGAAA